AACACAUAGUCUAUAGGUUCAACCUAAGUUUAGGGUCCCUUAGUUGCUUUGCUCUUCUUGUUUUCCAAAUUUGACAAUUUUCUUUCUUGAGAUUGUAAAUUGUUCAUAGUUCCAGUAGUAUGCCUACUUCGAUCAUAAAGAUUUAGAUGCCUUGACCAUGGUGUAUCACUGGUGUUCUCCAUUUGAUAGUGAGAAUUUUGGAUGGAAAGAUGAUUCCAAGAUCCACUAGAUUCUAAUGGGAACAACAGGGAUACACAAUGGUCUGGGAUCAUGAUAUAUGGAAAUGGUUUUGACUGUCUUGGAUGAAUUGUCUUGAGACAACUCGUGUGAUCCAGUUGCAAUUGUGAACCUCAUCAUCAGAGGAGCAAUUCCCUGGAUCGUCUUUCAGAGAUGGAGGAAUCUCUCUCCCUUUUUGCAAUCGGUGAAUUGGAAGAUCACCCAUUGCUAUCGCGAUGCCAAUCCGAUAGCAGAUUUUCUAGCCAAAUCAGCAGCAAAGUAUGACUAUUCUGAUCCCAUUGUGUCUUGGCCAACAUUAAUAAGGAUGGAGUUGGAGAAGGAUGCCCUCACGCGUCCUCGUUAUAGACUUUUCUAGUUUUCCAGGCUGGGUUCUUUUUGUUUCUCUCCUGCUGAUGGCAAUGCCGAAGGUGGGGUAGGAGCUAAGGGCUUCUCUCCCUAUUUGUGUAGCCUUUUGGCACUGUGAAUGGUUUUUUCUCCAUUUUUUCAUUCUUAAUAUACUUCAAAUUUCUAGCGAAAAAAAAAAAAAACCCCUAAGUAUAAGUAAAUCUAUGCACAAUGGAGAAGCUGGUUUGAAAUCAGGUCAUGGUUAUGUUGUAGAUAGAUUUUGAUUCUAUUCAAGAUUCUUACCCAAAAAUAAAUAUUCUAUUCAGGAUUUGUUUCCACGGUGGAAAAGAAAGUAUUUGAUCAAUUGUUUGUAGCUUUUAUUGCACAUAGCCUGAGGGGCACUUCUUCAUCCAAAGCUGCGGCCAGGCAUCGCCUAAGAGUCUAGGCAGGUUGUUUGGGGUCUGGGCGACAAUCGCAUAAGUGUAACAGGGUCACCUUAGAGCAAGGUUAUGAUCUAGCACUUAUUCAUGCUCAAAAAUCAUUUAUGUAAAUGAUUCCCUAUUUUUUAUUUCAGAACUACUAAAUGAUUAUUCCUUCUGUGAUUAAAUUGGUCAAGGAUUUAAGUAUUUCUAAGACACUGCGUGUUCAUGUGGCUGCUCCUUCAACAAAGAUGAUUCAAGAAGUGUUUUCGGUCCAUCCAUCUGACAACUAGAUCAAGUUGAACAUCGACGGCUGUUCACUGGAAAUCCAGGGUAUGAAAGCAGGUGGAGUGUCAUCUAUCAUCGGUGGCUUGUCUCUAUUGUUUGCAAAUUAUGUAGGAGUCAAUACAAAUUUCUGAGCGGUAUUGGCAGCUUUUAUUGAUGGGAUUAUUCAGAUUGCUAUUGUCUUCACUUUGAUAGAAUCUAGGUGGGAUGUGAUUCAAGUGUAGUGGUUUCUUCAGUUAUGAAUUAUGAUCCAUUCUAUUACGCAGUAUUUCAGAAAAAGAUGGCUGCUAUUAAAGUGUACUAGACAAGAGCUCUUGGAGAAUCCCUGGUGUUACAGAGAAACUAAUGUAGCGGCGGAUGUUUUUGCAAAGCAUGUUGCGACUUCUAGGGUGUCCUUUUCCUGGGUUGUGCCUCCAAAUUUUAUUUUUAAUCAGUUUAGCUAGGACGCACUAUGAAGGUCCCGCUUUAUAUUUGUUCGAGAUCUCUCACUUUAGAUUUUUUUUUUUUUUUUUUUUUUUUUGGCUGAUAACCAUGCCAAAGGUGGGAAAGCGAUUCAAAUUUUUCCUUUUUGUUACCUCCCAGUUAUUUGAGUUAGUUGUUAUUCUAUCAUUCUAUUAUUAAUAAAGUUUCUUUGAUGAUACAUAGCAAAAA